GCGAAAACUUCACACUGCAGGAAACUGUGAUGAGGGAACUCCUAGUGACAUGCACUAUGUUGUAUGUAGAUCCUUACUUCUUAAACAAGUAGAGGGAAAGGGCUGGGAAAGACCGGUGCCAGCCGCCGCGGUAAUACCGGCAGCUCAAGUGGUCGUCGCUUUUAUUGGGCCUAAAACGUCCGUAGCCUGUUUGGUAAAUCUGUGGGUAAAUCAAUCCGCUCAACGGAUUGAAUUCUGCAGAGACUGCCAGACUAGGGACCGGGAGAGGUGUGGGGGUACUCUAGGGGUAGGGGUAAAAUCCUGUUCAU
rnacentral:rRNA from 2 species